CCCCAGCAUUCUAUAAACAGAGAUACAUUCACAAAGCCCAUAUUUAGAAAAGUGAUCAUCUAUUCUUUACCGCCAAGCUUGACAGAGUAGGCGCUACCUUUUGAGAGGCUUAUAAAGGACAACAGUGACAAAUUUGGAUUGGAACCUAUGGGUAAGUCCCAAAGCAACUAGAGACUGAGAUGCCCGUCCUUUAUCUAAAAAAAGGUGGUUAAGCACAACGUGUUGAGGUUUUAAAGAAGCUUCAUUUGAAUUCUCCAUACCAAGGACAGUAAGACGCAGCUGUUGUGGAACAACUAAUGGCUCUCUUGCAAAAUCUUCCUCACUUGGAAAUGACUGACCAUAAGUGGAGCCUGGAGAUGGUGGAGCCUCAAAUUCAGCCACACUGUCCAGGUUUUCUGGCACAUAAUUAUUAACAUCAAGAAGAUUAUAAAAACGGCCCAUCCCAUCAGACACACAAGGAAGAUCUGGAUUAUAUCUCCAUUCCCCAUCUACAAUAAACUUAUAAUGGUAUAUGCCUGAUCGAAGGACCAGCAGAAUAGAAUGAUCGUUACCAGAUCUUUGCAUUCGCUUCCUUGACAUCCAGUUAUCCCAAGAUCCUUCAAGGAAUACUUCAUUACCACCAUAGUUCCAGGAGAUAAUGGUUGGGAUUCCUUGCUCAGGACGAUGAUCAACAACUCCACGAGAUUCAUUUCGCCACAUUUGAUUUAAAAAAGGCAGGCCAUCAGACC
rnacentral:misc_RNA from 1 species